CUGAGUGGCUCCUGUUAUGAGAAAAACAAACCGCCAGCUGUGGUGUUCUAGUUGAGUAAUAUGUAGCCUCCAGCCAGAAGACAUGGUUGACUCCAUGUUGUCUGUUUUAGAGGAAGUUUCCAGACAACUCACAGAUAACGCUGGCAUUAUUCAGUGUUAGUGCUAUAAUGUGAUGGCUACUUUAAUCCCCUCCUAUUGAAUUUAUUAAAAUACUUUAUCAUUCUACCUCCGCUUGAAUUUUCCCAAACUAAUAGAAACAAAAAUGAGUUAAUACCGAAGCAUUCGUACAGUAAAAUAAUACAUUGACGCCCCGGCCAUGUUGAUUGGUUCGAAAUUAGCAUUUCAAGCAAAUGGUGUUACAUUUUUUCAUUUAGCCAGAAAAAACAGCUGUCGAGUGUGCUGACAACAGGAUGCUGGAGAUUCUUCAUUUUUAAAAUCACGGCAACUCUGAGAAUGAGGCUGUUUUUUGCUGGAGCGAGGGAAGGCCAUCUCCCUCGACUCCUGGCCAUGAUUUAUUUGAAACGCUGCACCCUGAUCCCAGCCCUGCUGUUCAGUCCUACUUACUCUACCUGACAACAACGCAUCGCUCUUCCUCAGUCUCUCACACACACUAACACAUCAUCAGCCUAUUUCUGCUAGUUGGAGCUGGGCUGGCUGGUUGCAGUCCUUAUUUAUGAAGUGAUGUAGUUUCUAAUAAUAGCAGUAAUUCAGUGUAAUCCACACACAAUCUGACUGACAGGAAAACGCUACUGGGCAGGCAUUAAGGCACCUCUGAACGCCUUCUAUUAGUUGAAUAUAGAGAAUAAUCUGACUCUUGCCAUUUGGAAAUGUGUUUUUAGUAGUCUAGGAGCUAAGACUUUUAUUGUUUUGCUAUAGACCCACAUAAACAAAAGAAAAUUCUCCAUUAGUGCAGGUAACACGAAACUGACCUAGGUCGUACUGCAGCUGCGCAUUUCAUCCAACAACAGAAAUCUUGGAUGACCGAUGGUCCAAGGCAGCGGGGCAACACAUCUGCGGACGGGGAUACCCCUACCUCCUAAUCCAGUGAAGAGAGGUUGGGAAGAGUGGCCCUGAAGAAAGAGAUUGGCCUUGUCAGCGCAUGUGGAAUUAUUGUGGGUAAAUCAUUAUGCUCAUCUUUUAUCCCAUCUAUAAUGACUUCCUCAAUCUUCUUGUGACCACCUGAGAUCCAACCUGACAUGGAUUUUUUGUUGUUGCAGAACCUAGCAGAGGGAAGAACCUUUCACAGAUUGCACAGUUAACAGUGCUCAUUUCACAGCUGAUCUGAACAGGAUCUUCAAAACCUCGCUUUUUUCCAGUCUGUUCUUUACUGGCCAGACUACAUCCUUCGGACAGUUUUUUUUUGUCAUAGCAAGAAAAUGCACAGGGCCCAACAUAACGCAUUAUGUGCUUGUGUGAGUCGUGUCUAUUUCACCAAUAUGUGGAUUUGUUCUAAAUGGCUGUCAUAGAGCAGCAGCCAUCCCACCCACAUGCAGAGAAAGUAGAUAAAAAGUCAUCUCACUAAUGCUUGGCCCGUGUAGCGGCUGCACUUUACAUCAUCAGCAUAGUGGCCAAGGCCGCACCAUUCACAAGAAGCAUGCUGCAAAUCUCCUGCACUGAGACAAGAUAAUAACCUCACUCAGUUCUAUAAAAUAGGCUACACCAGGGCUCGCUCACCCUGUUCCUAGAGAGUAGGUUUUCCCUCUCCCCAGUUGUAACUAACCUGAUUCCGUUUAGCAACAAGCUAAUUAUUAGAAUCAGGUGCACUAGAUUAAGGUUGGAGCGAAAACCUACAGAGCAGUAGUUCUUCAGGGAAAGGGGGGCACCUAGUCAAUUGUCCAACUGAAAUAUGUUUUACUGCAUUUAACCCAACCACUCUGAAUCAGAGAGGUGUGGGGGGGGUUGGGGGACCAAGCUCUUUACUGGAUAGCUGUAGAAUCAGAAACUUCACAACUACAACCAUUCUCUCUGCACGUAGAGCUAAUCUUUUAGAAUGACUUUUGCAGUCUGAGUCUGAGAGCUUGCCUCCUGGGGGACUUUGUGGCCAAAGGGCCGGUCAGAUAAACCUGGGAGAAAAUGUGGCUUCCCAGACUGAUCGUGAGCCUGAUCACGGUCAGCAGUUGGUUGUCUUACGCCGCUGCCCUGUUUUGAGCUACCGUAUUAACCCAGAUAAUGAGAUCUCCAAAAACUUUCGGAUAAUCCUGAUCUUAUGUUUCUGAAUCACAACCAGUAGUCUGAAGAUGUAGUUGGUGUGUGUUGAUACUGAUAUAAAUGAGGAAGAGGAAAGUGAGUAUUUUACUCGCCACUUUUGAAAGAUUGAUGCAGCAUUUCCACCUUCCUAAUCCUCCCUGUCUCUUUGUCUUUGUCUCAGGUAACAUAAUCGGGUCAGGGAUCAUUGUGAGCCCAAAGGGCGUUAUGGAGAAUGCCAGCUCUGUGGGGCUGGCUCUCGUAGUGUGGAUUGUCACCGGAGUGAUCACAGCCAUUGGUGCACUGCUUUGCUGAACUGGGCGCCACUAUCCCCAAGUCUGGAGGAGACUACUCAUACGUUGAUGAGAGAAUGCAUGUGGGUCAUUCCACAAAAUGAAUCCAUUUUUGGAUAGUGUAACUUGGUGGGAGAACUUUUUUUAUUUUACAAUUCUGUCAUGAAGAGCACAUGUCCAACUUAAAGGUCCCAAAUAGUGAAAAUCAUGUUUUUCAUCACAUUGAAUGAUAUUUUGAUGAAUCCAGUUUAUAGUUGGGUGACCAAAGUAUGAAAAAUGACUGUAGCUGGUACAUUUACACAGUUUAUCAUAAAGCAAGUAGUCCCCCCAUCCCCCGUGUAAUUUUAUACACCAAUGGUAGCAUUUUAUAAUCUGAAUUAAUUUAAAUAUGUAUUGUUAACACCUUAAAACACUCAUCGCAUGUGUGCGUCAUACGGCUUUUUUUUACAAACCGUAAAAUAGCGCAAGCAGAACGAUACUGGUAACUAACCUCUUCUCAUCUGUGUAGUGACUUUUAGCUAGCGCGUUACUUACCAGCAUGCCGUAAAAAGCGAACUGUUUAGUGGCUGCUUUUCAUAAUGGGUGGACGGGCUGCACCGAAAAUUACAAUCAUGUGACGUGUGUGCACAGCCUGUAAUGUUUUUGAAAGGGGAAAUGUUUGUUAAAAUGGCUAGUGAAUUUAAUCUCCUUUAAUUUACUGCUCUGAGAUAUAAUGCUAUCAAGUUGUUUAUGUAGUGCUCUACUCAUUCUACAAUGUGUUUCUGGUAUUUUUGAGAAAAUAUUUGGACAUGCAUUUUUUGGGUGAAACAUUGCAGUGUUUGUAUUUGGAAUAUGCGUGCCUGGAAAUGCUCAAUUGAUUUGAAACUAUGACUGACAGCAUGUUGGGUCUGUCUUCACAGGCUUCACAGCAUAUCCCCCUUCUUUACCUUGGGAAAGCUUUUGUAUGACAGCAUUCCUGCUGUGAUGGUUGCCUGGGAAGCUGUGCAGAACAGGCUCCUGGAUCUCCUCUUCAACUAGGUCACCCUUGAUCCAGCGCUGUAUGUGGGGAUGCUGUGCAAGCUGUCCAUCGCAGAACCCCUGUGCCCAGUGUGAGAGGCCUCCAUGACAGAGGCCUGACAAUGAGGAAGCCCUAGCUAGAUUUGUCUCCCGCUUCAAUCUUGGGAAUGACUGAAGCCAAGUGCGUAACUGAAGCCUGCAUAAUUGAAGCAAGGUACAUGGGUCCCCCUCCUCUCCCGCUCCCCUCCCAUCAAUCUCUGUAGUUGGUUGCAUUUGCUAAAGCAAUGAACUUUUACGUCAUAAGAUAUCACCUUUUGUUACUUUUUAUAAUUUUUUUUUCAAGCAUUUGAAUGGGAGAUGAGUGUUACAAAUUGUACAAAUGAAUGAGAUCCUGCGCACUGUAGGGUUGCCAAGUGCCUAUAUUAGGCUCUAUGCCUCUAAUAUAUUUGUUUCUCGUUCAAAUGAUGUCUUACCAUAAUUUCUCAUGGGUGUUCAAGUUGAUCAAUAUUUUGGCAAUGUUGGCCUAUUGUAAAUUAGUGAAUAACUGUCUGAUCAAUACAUUAAAUUCUGAACAUAUUGUCAUUUAUAAUGCUAUUUACUCAUUCUUGUGAAGUAUACUGAACAAAAAUAUAAACGCAACAUGUAAAGUGUUGGUUUCAUGAGCUGAAAUAAAAGAUCAGAGACAUUU